ACUCACCUCACAGAGAACUAUUCCAAAGGAGAAGACAUCCACAGUCUCAUCAUAGCUCUUUCCUAGAGAACAUGAAAGAGGAGGGAGCCCCUUCUAGAGUCUGUACUUGAGGGUAAGCCAACAGACCUGGCCUGCCUGGCCCCCACCACCAGACACUCUGACGAGCUUGCAGAUUGACACCAAGACACCCUUUCCAGAGAUGACAUCAGAAAGGGCGGCUGCUUCUUUUCCCCUCUGCACCCUGACGCUGUCUCCACAUUGCGGCUCAUCGCCCCGACCCAAUGAAGGAGACAACAGGCCGGCAGAGAGAGCCCUGGCAUUACAGAAGCGAAGGAUUUCAGUAUAGGGAGGGAGGCCUCCCACCAUCUUACAGAAAAAAACCAGGCCUCGAGCAGGGCAGAGAGCUGGGAGCAGCAGAGCCUGGGUCCCCAACUCAUCAUCCUGGACUUGUGGAAGCCUAGGCAGAGACUGAACGAACCUCUCCGGUCUCCACUUUCUCAUUUGUAAAAUAAAAGCACUUGACAAGAUCA